AGUUUAUGAACUUGAUAUAAGUAUAUAUUUUGAAAAUAUAAAAUAGAGAUUAAUCCUCUAUAAACUU
rnacentral:tRNA from 1 species